GGCGGACGGGUGAGUAAUGUAUAGUUAAUCUGCCCUUUAGAGGGGGAUAACAGUUGGAAACGACUGCUAAUACCCAUACUCCUUUUAUCUUAAUGAUAAUUGGGAAACGUUUUUUCGCUAAAGGAUGAGACUAUAUGGUAUCAGGUAGUUGGUGGGGUAAGAGCCUACCAAGCCUAUGACGCCUAGCUGGUCUGAGAGGAUGAUCAGCCACACUGGAACUGAGACACGGUCCAG
rnacentral:rRNA from 1 species